GAUCUCUUGGUCUAUAACUUGUUUAAGGUACGAAGAUUGAAGAUUUAAUGAUGGCAUCUGAUUCUGUUGAUUGGGGGUUCCUUUUCUAUUUUAUUUUAGCCUCUUGAAUUCUUUUUGAAGUGUGAUGAUUGAGACCAUGUUGCUUCACAGAAUACAGAUUCCCAUUUAUGUAUCUCAAUUACUGUGUCCUGGUGAGAUAAUUUCUCAUGUGUGAAGAGAUUAAGUCAUGUUUAAGUACUCUUAAGGGUUUAUUUUGGGGACUACUUUUGUCGAACUUGAAAGAAAACAACCUCCGCCAAUUCUCUACACUUCUCCUUUGAUCUUGAUCUCUUGGUCUAUAACUUGUUUAAGGUACAAAGAUUGAUGAUUUAAUGAUGACAUCUGAUUCUGUUGAUUGGGGGUUCCUUUUUUAUUUUAUUUUAGCCUCUUGAAUUCUUUUUGAAGUUUGAUGAUUGAGACCAUGUUGCUUUACAGAAUACAGAUUCCCACUUCUGUAUCUCAAUUACUGUGCCCUGAUAAGAUACUUCUCAUGUGUGAAGAGAUUAAGUCAGGUUCAAGAAGAACCCUUUUCCCCUUGUGGUUGUGUGGUUGUCAUGUAAAUUCUCUCAAGAAUUCUUGUCAGUACUUUCAUCGUGUCUUGUGUUUAUUCAGCACCUGUGGUAAUUCUAUUACUUGGUAGGAUUAAACGACAAACUGCAACAGGAGAGAUUUUUGUGGUGUCAUGGAUCCAAAACUGACUAUAGGAGGUUAACAAUUCAAGAUUCAAGAAGGUUUUCUUAUCAGUUAAACCUCAUGCUGUUCCUUGAUUGCUGUCAAAUUCGAUGCCUGCUGCUUCCAAGCCUUUAAAGCUGAAAUUUAAGCUAGAAUUCAGAGCUGGAGCUCUAGUUACUUCUAUUUUGUGUGGCAUCCCUGUUGUAUAGCAUUCAAAAUUUGUAUGCUUACAAAGAAUAUAAGCAAAGAAAUUGAGGAAAUGGUUAACAACUUCUUAUGAAAAGGAGAGGGCACUACAGUCUGCAUCGAUAGGAGCACGAGUUUCUGCCUUUUUAUGCAUAUGAAUUGGUCCUGAGAGCCGAUGGUAUCAACAGCAUUAGACGUAUGAUGCAAAUUCUAGUGAUCAAGACUGGAGCAUCCAGAGCAGAAUUAAGCAGAAGGAAUUGACUGAAUCUAACAACGUGUAUAGGGGUGAUAAAGCCAAGGAUUUUGCUGAAUCAAAUUCGUACUGUGUAGGCUAAAGUUCCAGCCAUUUACAUUGGAAAGAGGGCAGUUGAUAUCCAAUAAUUGAUGUCAAUUUUAUUGGAACAUCAUUCAAGUGGCAGUAAUAACUGAUGUUUUCCUUAUCUGUUAGCUAUUAGCAGGAGUCUAAUUAUUAGUAACUGUUGCUUUGUAAAACUAUAUAUAGAAAAUUAAUAGUUCCAGUGGGAUGUGUUGUAAUGAAAACCUAUUUGUUAUUCGGUGUGAUUUCAAUAUGGGAGUGAUUUUGUUGAGUGGAAUGAGGUUUCUUGUUUCUUAUUCCUGCAACUCUUUGUUUGCAAUAAAACUAGCAGAUUUCCUU